rnacentral:tRNA from 1 species
GGGAGAGUUCCCGAGUGGCCAAAGGGGGCAGACUGUAAAUCUGUUGCUUUAUCGCUUCGAUGGUUCGAAUCCAUCCUCUCCCACCA